UUCCUACGGGCGGCUGCAGUCGAGAAUCUUCGGCAAUGGGCGCAAGCCUGACCGAGCGACGCCGCGUGGAGGACGAAGGCCUUCGGGUUGUAAACUCCUGUCGAGGGGGAAGAAGCCGCAAGGUUGACUGAUCCCUGGAGGAAGCACGGGCUAAGUUCGUGCCAGCAGCCGCGGUAAGACGAACCGUGCGAACGUUAUUCGGAAUCACUGGGCUUAAAGCGCGUGUAGGCGGAACGGCACGUCGGUCGCUGAAAGCCCCCGGCUCAACCGGGGAAUGGGCGCCGAUACGACCGUUCUGGAGGAACGUAGGGGGACCUGGAACUUCCGGUGGAGCGGUGAAAUGCGUUGAGAUCGGAAGGAACGCCCGUGGCGAAAGCGAGGUCCUGGACGUUUUCUGACGCUGAGACGCGAAAGCCAGGGGAGCGAACGGGAUUAGAUACCCUAGUAGUCU
rnacentral:rRNA from 1 species